rnacentral:ncRNA from 2 species
AUUCUGUCGGCAGUUUCAGGUGUCGCGAAAGUGAUGAAACGGGAAGUCGGUGCAUCAGAUUUAUAGAUAAACCCGACACUGCCCCCGCAACGGUAAAUGAGUUCAGAUUGAACGUUAGCCACUGUAUCUAUUACGGGAAGGUGUUCAACCGGUGAUAGCACCGCUCAUGAGUCCGGAGACCGGCCUGAAAUAUCCUGGUCUG